rnacentral:rRNA from 1 species
UGGCUCAGAGUGAACGCUGGCGGCAGGCCUAACACAUGCAAGUCGAGCGGCAGCGCGUCCGACCACCCUCGGGUGGUCGGAUGGCGGCGAGCGGCGGACGGGUGAGGAAUGCAUCGGAAUCUGCCUCGUUGUGGGGGAUAACGUAGGGAAACUUACGCUAAUACCGCAUACGACCUACGGGGUGAAAGUGGGGGACCUUCGGGCCUCACGCGAUGAGAUGAGCCGAUGCCGGAUUAGCUAGUUGGCGGGGUAAAGGCCCACCAAGGCGACGAUCCGUAGCUGGUCUGAGAGGAUGAUCAGCCACACUGGAACUGAGACACGGUCCAGACUCCUACGGGAGGCAGCAGUGGGGAAUAUUGGACAAUGGGGGCAACCCUGAUCCAGCCAUGCCGCGUGUGUGAAGAAGGCCUUCGGGUUGUAAAGCACUUUUGUUGGGGAAGAAACCGGCCGGGUUAAUACCCUGGUUGAAUGACGGUACCCAAAGAAUAAGCACCGGCUAACUUCGUG